AACGGAUAUCUUGGCUCUCGCAUCGAUGAAGAACGUUGCGAAAUGUGAACUUGGUGUGAAUUGCAGAACCCCGCGAACCAUCGAGUCUUUGA
rnacentral:rRNA from 1 species